AUUGAACGCUGGCGGCAUGCCUAAUACAUGCAAGUCGAACGGAGUGGCGCACGGGUUAGUAAUGUAUAGCUAAUCUGCCCUACACUAGAGGACAACAGUUUGAAACGGCUGCUAAUACUCUAUAGUGUAGGAUGAGGCUAUAUUGUAUCAGCUAGUUGGUGAGGUAAUGGCUCACCAAGGCUAUGACGAAUAACUGGUCUGAGAGGAUGAUCAGUCACACUGGAACUGAGACACGGUUCAGACUCAUACGGGAGGGGGCAGUAGGGAAUAUUGCUCAAUGGGGGAAACCCUGAAGCAGCAACGCCGCGUGGAGGAUGACACUUGUCGGAGAGUAAAAUACUGUUGUUAGGGAAGCGGUACCUAACGAAUAAGCACCGGCUAACUCCGUGCCAGCAGCCGCGGUAAUAC
rnacentral:rRNA from 1 species